rnacentral:rRNA from 1 species
CCUACGGGGGACAGCAGUGAGGAAUAUUGGUCAAUGGGCGCGAGCCUGAACCAGCCAAGUCGCGUGAGGGAAGACGGUCCUAUGGAUUGUAAACCUCUUUUGUCGGGGAGCAAAAGACGCCACGCGUGGCGUUCCGAGAGUACCCGAAGAAAAAGCAUCGGCUAACUCCGUGCCAGCAGCCGCGGUAAUACGGAGGAUGCGAGCGUUAUCCGGAUUUAUUGGGUUUAAAGGGUGCGCAGGCGGAAGAUCAAGUCAGCGGUAAAAUUGAGGGGCUCAACCUCUUCGAGCCGUUGAAACUGGUUUUCUGGAGUGAGUGAGACGUAUGCGGAAUGCGUGGUGUAGCGGUGAAAUGCAUAGAUAUCACGCAGAACUCCGAUUGCGAAGGCAGCAUACCGGCGCUCAACUGACGCUCAUGCACGAAAGUGUGGGUAUCGAACAGGAUUAGAUACCCUGGUAGUC